GGGGGCGAUCGGCUUCGACGGGGGCUGGAAAAUCAAGGUUGCGAUGUCGGGGUUCUGACUACCCGUAAAAUUGGCAGACUGCAAAUUUAGCUGCAGACAACGCUGAAUACGCCCUCGCUGCCUAAUACGCAGUGAGCGUUCUACCUGUCCGUGCCCGUAGGGCAGACUAGAACGUCACAAAUCGGGAUAGGAUUCACGUUGCGCCACAGGGCGUUGAUCCGAAACUUUACUGCGGCUGGUCCUGGGGCAUCCUGCUCAUGGGAGAUUUCAGGGCAAGAUUAAAAUGUGAGCUACGCAUUGUAGACGCCUUCGGUGGACCACUCUCGGACGGGGGUUCAAUUCCCCCCGCCUCCAUCC
rnacentral:tmRNA from 1 species